CAUUACUCCGUUAUUAAUUAAUUAUUAUAAGAUUAUUAUCAUGGUAGAAAAGGCUCAUGGAUUAACGAACAAGCAAUAUGAGGAAAGAGCAUAAUUCUGUAAUUAUUCCAACAGAAAAAAAACCAUUUGAUACGUUUUAUAGUGAUGCACAUUACAUAUUUUGAUUUAAAAAUUCAAAAGAAGCAUCAAUUUUAACCAAAAAUAAACAAUAAUAACUUAUAAACCUCAUUUAUUUGUAUUUAAAGGCAAAAUAUCUACAAGGAAAAAUGGUUUGAAGGCGAAAAAGUUUAAGUUAAAAUGACUGAAUUCAAAUAAAUUAAAGCCAAAGUACCCGGAACAGGCAUGGCUCACAAUCAAUAGUAAUAGGAUUAAUUGUAAAUAGUUAAUAUCCUCUUGGAACGGAAUCAAAUGUUCCAUCUCGUCAUUUUGAAUCUAUUGAAUUAUCUAUCAAGGAUAUAAGUAAAAGAACAUAAAUUUAAUGUAACUCCUAAAUAAACGAAAUUGAUAAAAUUAUUCUAAAUGUUGCUAAUGCUGUAAAUUAGUUUAUCUCCUUAUAAGAUUAAAAAAUAAUGAAA
rnacentral:lncRNA from 1 species